rnacentral:rRNA from 1 species
UACAGAGGUCUCAAGCGUUGUUCGGAUUCAUUGGGCGUAAAGGGUGCGUAGGUGGCGCCGUAAGUCGGGUGUGAAAACUCGAGGCUCAACCUCGAGACGCCGGUGGAAACCGUAAAGCUAGAGUCCGGAAGAGGAGAGUGGAAUUCCUGGUGUAGCGGUGAAAUGCGCAGAUAUCAGGAGGAACACCGAUGGCGAAGGCAGGUCUCUGGGCCGAUACUGACGCUGAGGAGCGAAAGCGCGGGGAGCGAACAGG